AUGUUUAUCCCACUCACCCUUCUCUUUCCUCCCACUAACCCCGGUCCAUUCCUUUUUAUCAACGUUGGAGUCGAGGCAAUCAUGGCGCCGAAGCGCUGGACAAAGCACGCGUCGCCGCCCUCCAAAUGUAAGUUCUUUCCAUGUCCAUGUCCAUGUCCUGGUAAGCACAUCCUCUUAUAUGUUUCUUCUACUUCAUCUCCAUGUCCUGGUAGUGCUCCAUCUCCAUGUGUUGGAUCUGCUCCAUGUCCAUAUGAUGGCUAUGUCGGUUGUGCUCUGUAUGUGUGGAAAUGUCAUGGUCUUGGAUCUGGUCUUUAG
rnacentral:rRNA from 1 species